rnacentral:rRNA from 1 species
UGCCAGCCGCCGCGGUAAUACGGAGGUUCCUAGCGUUGUUCGGAAUUACUGGGCGUAAAGGGAGCGCAGGCGGACAGGUCAGUUUAAAGUGGAAUUCCAAGGCUCAACCUUGGACGUGCUUUGGAUACUGCCUGUCUUGAGUUCGUGAGAGGAAAGUGGAAUUCAGGGUGUAGCGGUGAAAUGCUUAGAUAUCCUGAGGAACACCAGUGGCGAAAGCGACUUUCUGGCACGUAACUGACGCUGAGGCUCGAAAGCAUGGGUAGCGAACGGGAUUAGAUA